rnacentral:RNase_P_RNA from 1 species
AAGGGUAGACGGGUGGUCGCUCCGCUUUAGGCGGGGAGGAAAGUCCGGGCAUCGAGGGGCAGGAUGGUUCCUAACGGGAACCGGGGGUAACCCCAGGGAAAGUGCAACAGAAAAUAUACCGCCCUUUAAUCGGGGUAAGGGUGAAAUGGCGGGGUAAGAGCCCACCAGUCCCGCGGUGACGCGGGAGCUUUGUAAACCCCAUCCGAUGCAAGGCCAAAGAGGGUGCCGCCACGGCGGCAUGGAUGGCCCGUCCAGUACCCGGGUAGGCCGCUUGAGGUCCGGGGUGACCCGGAUCCUAGAGAAAUGAUCACCGUUUCCGCCUUCGGGCUGGAAAACAAAACCCGGCUUAUAGUCUACCCUUUUUU